rnacentral:rRNA from 1 species
CUAGCCAUGCAUGUCUAAGUAUAAAUAACUACACAGUGAAACUGCGAAUGGCUCAUUAAAACAGUUAUAGUUUAUUUGAUACAAGAAAUGGAUAACUGUAGAAAAACUAGAGCUAAUACAUGCCGUAACCGCAAGGUUGUAUUUAUUAGAUAUACCCAGUAGGUGAUUCAUAAUAACUAUGCAAAUCGAGGCUCUGCCUCGAUACAUCAUUCAAGUUUCUGCCCUAUCAGCUUUCGAUGGUAGUGUAUUGGACUACCAUGGCUUUCACGGGUAACGGAGAAUUAGGGUUCGAUUCCGGAGAAGGAGCCUGAGAAACGGCUACUACAUCUAAGGAAGGCAGCAGGCGCGUAAAUUACCCAAUCCUGACUCAGGGAGGUAGUGACAAGAUAUAACAACGCUAUUUUAUAUAGCGAUUGUAGUGAGGGUUUUCUAAAAAGAACUUCGAGUACGAUUGGAGGGCAAGUCUGGUGCCAGCAGCCGCGGUAAUUCCAGCUCCAAUAGCGUAUAUUAAAGUUGUUGCAGUUAAGAAGCUCGUAGUUGGAUUUCAAAGUGGAGGUGAGGAAACUCGCCGAAACUUAUCAGUCCUAUCGGACUGUUACUGUGAGAAAAUUAGAGUGUUUAAAGCAGGCCAUUGCAGGAAUACAUUAGCAUGGAAUAACGAGUGUGUCUAGAAUCUUGGUUAAUUCUAGAAAACGAUUAAUAGGGACAGUUGGGGGCAUUAGUAUUUAAUUGUCAGAGGUGAAAUUCUUGGAUUUAUUAAAGACUAACAUAUGCGAAAGCAUUUGCCAAGGAUGUUUUCAUUAAUCAAGAACGAAAGAUUGGGGAUCAAAGACGAUCAGAU